AGUUCAAGAGAACGUGAAAUCGUUGAAGUGGAACCGGAGAGAGUUGACGUAGUAUGGUGGAUAAGUAUUGCAAGAAUCGCUUCAAACAAUGAAUGUGAUCGAGUAAUAUGUACGUCACCAAAGACUGCGCUGACAGCAUCGACUACACGCUCUGAACUGUGUUGACAUGUUGCCUAUUCUAGUAUAUAGAAUGGUGUCUUGUGUUACGUGGUGAAGUUUGUUGUUAUGUUGUUGAUGUUGAUAAGUAUGAUUAUACACCAAGUAUAAUUAUGUCAGUGUAAAAGUCAACCACCUCUCCGACCCGUCUUGAAACACGGACCGAGGAGUGUAACUUGUACGCGAGUCAUUGGGUGGAAAAACCUUAAGGCGAAACGAAAGUGAAGGCACGGUUAACCGGCUGACAUGGGAAACGUGCGGUAUUGUUAGCGAGACGUUACACCAUGGCCCUGUCUUGUCUGCAUGCAGAUGGGCAGCGGUAGAGCGUACAGGUUGCGACCCGAAAGAUGGUGAACUAUGCCUGAGCAGGACGAAGUCAGAGGAAACUCUGGUGGAAGUCCGUAUCGGUUCUGACGUGCAAAUCGAUCGAUAGACUUGGGUAUAGGGGCGAAAGACU
rnacentral:rRNA from 1 species